GGUUUCGUGGUGUAGUGGUUAUCACGUCUGCUUUACACGCAGAAGGCCGCGAGUUCGAACCUCGCCGGAACCU
rnacentral:tRNA from 2 species